GAAUUAUAAGCGAAAAUAGCUGAAAAUUACGCAUUUUUCGUUUUAUUUUUCAAAUAUUUUUGCUAAAACGUAAAUCUGGAGACACUUCCCAAAUCAAAGUUGAAGAAUAUCAUUUAUUGAAGAACUUCUAAUGGUUAGCAGUAACGAAGAAAGGUGAGGAGAAAAUAUCCUUCGGCAAACUCAUUUGCAUUAUUAGCGUAUUCGUGACUCGCCAUAUUGUUGCUUCACCACCCGCUGUCUUGUCUUUCUAACUCGAUAGAUUAUUGCUGUAAAAGUCAAACGUGUGAUGGAAAUAAAGGAAAUCCAGCAAAAUCCAACAAACAGAGACCACUAGCGGAUAAUUUUUGGAAAAAAUCUCCAUUCUUUAAGCUCAGAGAAGGCGAAGGAGAUCUGUCACGCAAGUCACGCGAGGUUCAUACUGUAGGCCUACUAAAAUAAACUGAGUUUAAUUGAGCUUGGCAUUGGAACCCGGCUUAAUUAAGUUACUAAAUAGUAUAAGCUGUAGAACGGCUGCAUAUUUAUAAGUUGAUUGUCAGUUUAAUAUAAUAUGUGAUAUCGAAAUAUUAAAAUUACAACAUAGGCCACAAGUUGUAGGUUUUUGUUUAAAAGGCAGUCUGAUUAUAUAAACCUAUUAACUAAUAGUAGCCAACACUUACCGGCCCAUUUCAGGGGUAGAAUUAUCUGGUGUUUAUAGCCUAGAUAUCGUAAAAUGCGAAAGCAGGGUGUAUACACGAUACAUCAAGGGCCAUAAAAUGAGACUGAUAGCUGAAACAGUAGAUUUAUCUGCAUGUAUUCUUGUAUUCUCAUAUUUGUUUACUUCGCCUCAUACUGCGUGCCUUGAGUUAGCUGGU